rnacentral:rRNA from 1 species
UACGAAGGGUGCAAGCGUUAAUCGGAAUUACUGGGCGUAAAGGGUGCGUAGGCGGUUAGUUAAGUCUGUUGUGAAAUCCCCGGGCUCAACCUGGGAAUGGCAAUGGAUACUGGCUGGCUAGAGUGUGUCAGAGGAUGGUGGAAUUCCCGGUGUAGCAGUGAAAUGCGUAGAGAUCGGGAGGAACACCAGUGGCGAAGGCGGCCUUCUGGACCAAUACUGACGCUCAUGCACGAAAGCGUGGGGAGCAAACAGG